CUACGGGUGGCAGCAGUGGGGAAUAUUGGACAAUGGGGGGAACCCUGAUCCAGCCAUGCCGCGUGUGUGAAGAAGGCCCUCGGGUUGUAAAGCACUUUCAGUGAGGAAGAACGCCUGGUGGUUAAUACCCAUCAGGAAAGACAUCACUCACAGAAGAAGCACCGGCUAACUCCGUGCCAGCAGCCGCGGUAAUACGGAGGGUGCGAGCGUUAAUCGGAAUUACUGGGCGUAAAGCGCGCGUAGGUGGCUUGAUAAGCCGGUUGUGAAAGCCCCGGGCUCAACCUGGGAACGGCAUCCGGAACUGUCAAGCUAGAGUGCAGGAGAGGAAGGUAGAAUUCCCGGUGUAGCGGUGAAAUGCGUAGAGAUCGGGAGGAAUACCAGUGGCGAAGGCGGCCUUCUGGACUGACACUGACACUGAGGUGCGAAAGCGUGGGUAGCAAACAGGAUUAGAUACCCUAGUAGUC
rnacentral:rRNA from 1 species